rnacentral:rRNA from 1 species
UACGUAGGGACCGAGCGUUGUCCGGAAUCAUUGGGCGUAAAGAGCGUGUAGGCGGCCUUUUAAGUCCUGCGUGAAAUCCUGCGGCUCCAACCGCAGACGGUCGGUGGGAAACUGGAAGGCUAGAGUGCGGGAGAGGAGAGUGGAAUUCCCGGUGUAGCGGUGAAAUGCGCAGAUAUCGGGAAGAACACCCGUGGCGAAGGCGGCUCUCUGGAACGCAACUGACGCUGAGACGCGAAAGCGUGGGGAGCAAACAGG